rnacentral:tRNA from 1 species
CGAAGUAGACGAGCCCCGCCGCAGCCACCCCGAUCGACCCGCCCAGCUGCUGAGCCGUGGGCAACAGCCCGGAC